rnacentral:SRP_RNA from 1 species
GCCGGGCGUGGUGGUGUGUGCCAGCUACUCUCGAGAGGCUGAAGUGGGAGGAUCACUUGAGCCCAGGAGUUCUGAGCUAUAGUGUGCUAUGCCAGUCAGGUGUCCACACUAAGUUCAGCAUCAAUAUGGUGACCUGCCGGGAGCAGGGGACCACCAGGUUACCUAAGGAGGGAUAAACCAGCCCAGGUCGGAAAUGGAGCAGGUCAGAACUCCCGUGCUGAUCAGUAGUGGGAUCGCGCCUAUGAAUAGCCACUGCACUCCAGCCUGGGCAACAUAGUGAGACCCCGUCUCC